rnacentral:rRNA from 1 species
AACGAACGCUGGCGGCAGGCCUAACACAUGCAAGUCGAGCGCACCCUUCGGGGUGAGCGGCGGACGGGUGAGUAACGCGUGGGAACGUGCCCUUCUCUGCGGAAUAGCCUCGGGAAACUGAGAGUAAUACCGCAUACGCCCUUUGGGGGAAAGAUUUAUCGGAGAAGGAUCGGCCCGCGUUGGAUUAGGUAGUUGGUGGGGUAAUGGCCCACCAAGCCGACGAUCCAUAGCUGGUUUGAGAGGAUGAUCAGCCACACUGGGACUGAGACACGGCCCACACUACCACGGGGGAGAGGCGGGGGGAAGUGCGGAGCGUGGUGGCAACCGUGCUCUAGCGAGGCCGGGUGUGUGAGGAAGGCCUUAGGGGUGAAAGGCUUUUUCAGCUGGAAAUAACAAGACGGUACAGCCAGUAGAAGCCCCGCCUACCGCCGAGCCCGAAGCGGCGGUAUAAGAGGAACACCACACGCCCGAAC